rnacentral:rRNA from 1 species
UACGUAGGGUACAAGCAUUAAUCGGAAUGAUUGGGCGUAAAGGGCGCGUAGGCGGCUCAGUAAGUCAGAUGUGAAAUUCCAAAGCUCAACUUUGGAGCUGCAUAUGAAACUACUGAGCUAAAGAGGUAAGACGGAGGAAGCGGAAUUCCACGUGUAGCGGUGAAAUGCGUAGAUAUGUGGAGGAACACCUGUGGCGAAAGCGGCUUUCUAGUUUUAACCUGACGCUGAGGCGCGAGAGCAAGGGGAGCAAACAGG